rnacentral:rRNA from 1 species
GAUGAACGCUGGCGGUAUGCCUAACACAUGCAAGUCGUACGAGAGUUUUUAACUCUAGUGGCGGACGGGUGAGUAACACGUGAGAAUUUGCCUUUAGGAGGGGGAUAACAAUUGGAAACGAAUGCUAAUACCCCAUAUGCUUUUGAGUGAAAUGGAUUUUAUCCGCCUAGAGAGAAGCUCGCGGCUGAUUAGCUUGUUGGUAAGGUAAGAGCUUACCAAGGCGACGAUCAGUAUCUGGUUUGAGAGGACGAUCAGACACACUGGAACUGAGACACGGUCCAGACUCCUACGGGAGGCAGCAGUGGGGAAUUUUCCGGCAAUGGGCGAAAGCCUGACGGAGCAAUACCGCGUGAGGGAAGACUGCCUAUGGGUUGUAAACCUCUUUUUCUAGGGAGGAAUAAAAUGACGUGUACCUGAAGAAUAAGCAUCGGCUAACUCCGUGCCAGCAGCCGCGGU